rnacentral:rRNA from 1 species
GACGUAGGGGGCCAGCGUUGUUCGGAAUUACUGGGUGUAAAGGGUUCGUAGGCGGUGCGGCAAGUUGGGAGUGAAAUCUCUGGGCUUAACCCAGAGGCUGCUUCCAAAACUGCUGUGCUUGAGUGUGGGAGAGGCGCGUGGAAUUGCAGGUGGUAGCGGUGAAAUGCGUAGGAUAUCUGCAGGAACACCCGUGGCGAAAGCGGCGCCGCUGGACCACUACUGACGCUGAGGAACGAAAGCUAGGGGAGCAAACAGG